rnacentral:misc_RNA from 1 species
UGCCCAAACGGUGACUGGGCCCUCCUGAGCGGAAGAUGAAACUUCCGCUCAGACCUUGUUGCCGGGAUCGGAGACGAUCCCGCGCGCGACCAGCCGGUUCCAGAUGAACAGCACCACCAGCGCGCCGAUGGUGGCGGUGAUGAAUCCGGCGCCCUGGCCUGGAGCAUAGUGGCCGAUCGCCUGACCGACGAAGGUCGCCAGAAACGCGCCGGCGAUGCCGAGGACAAUCGUCAGAAUGAAGCCUGUCGGAUUAUUCGGGCCGGGUGACAAGAGCCGCGCAAGAAAACCUGCGACCAGUCCGACGAUCAGAACG